AGAAAGAAAGAAAGAAAGAAGGAACAGCGACCUCUUCUCUUUUUGCUUUCUCUCUCUCUCUCUCUCUUAGUCUCGCUCUUAUCAGUCUCAGGCCCUAAGCCACCAUUCUUUUUUCUUACUUUUAUAUUUUAUUGUUAAAACUUCACCUCACUUUCUACAAGCCUUGGUUGCAAACACACACACACACACACUCAGUAAGUGCUGCGAGGAGCAGCAGCUAGCAAAGGGAAAGAAAAGGAGAGAAAAAGAAAGAAAGAGACGACAGAUUGAGAGACAACACAUAGCUAUUAGAGAGAUAAAGAAAGGAAUUCGCAGAAGCUUUCAAAACCACAGAAGAGAAAACGAUGGCUGAGAGCUUUACAUCCUUUCAUACUCUGCAACUUCAAGAGAAUUGAGCAAAGGGAAAGCGAAGACAAGUGGGUGACAAGAAAGUGAAUUAUAUACAAGAGAUGAUGAUCAUCAUCAUCAAUACCAAGAUACUAAUAUGGGGAUAGCAACACCACCGCUCCCUCCGAUUCUCUCUCACUCCAAGACUCACCAGUCGUCGGUUGCUCCAUUAAUUCCACCCAGGUCUAAUUCUGCCAAUUAUUCUAUGUCCCAAGACUACCACCAAGCAGGAAUCUUCUCUUUCUCGAAUGGCUUCGAGAGAUCCCAGGUAGCUCAUCACCAAGAACAUCACCAGCAGCAACAGCAUCACUUAGCCCAGCAGAUCCGCAGAGACAAACUUAGAGUUCAAGCAGGUUACGACCCACCUCCGGGGCCAUUAGUAGGCAUCGAAGAGGAAGAAUCCGGUGGCCUUCCGGUCUAUGAAACUGCCGGUAUGUUAUCAGAAAUGUUCAAUUUCCCUCCUGGAGGGCCUGCCACCGCUGCUGAAUUGUUGGACCAGCCGUUGCAGUCAAAUUACCGGACGGCGCAUCCGCGGCAACAGCAGCCAGUAACGACCAACGAGUGGUACAGCAACAACAGGCAAGGAAUGGUAGGAGUUUUGGGUCCUUUAGGGGAUUCAAAGAAUCAUAAUAGCCGCGAAAGUUUAGCUCACCAUCAUCAGAUUACAGGCAUUAAUGCAGAUUCGGCUGCUGCCAUGCAGCUUUUUCUCAUGAAUCCACAGCCAAGAUCACCAUCUCCUGCUCCUUCCCAUCCUCAUCAUCCUCCUGCGACUUCUUCUACACUUCACAUGUUGUUACCAAACCCAUCUACUUCUCUUCAAGGGUUUAGCGUGUCCGGUCCUGGAGGAGCUUUCGGCGCAAGUAGUGAGAUAUCUCCCCCACAAUUCACAUGGGUUCCUGGUAGUGCUCAUGAAGGAGCCAACACUGGUGCUCAGCUCAAUAACCCAGCUGAGAUUGGCAGUGUUGUGGAAGGGCAAGGACUCUCUUUGUCAUUAUCUUCAUCGUUGCAACACUUGGAAGCAGCCAAAGCAGAAGAAUUGCGGAUGGGGGAGGGCGGAUUAUUAUAUUACAAUCAAGGAGGGGGCUCUUCUUCUGGUGCUGCUCCAUAUUACAAGAAUUUGGGUGGUCAACACCAGGCAUUGCAUUUGCAAGCGGGAAUUGGGCAAAAUCACCAAGUACAUGUUGGGUUUGGAUCAUCUUUAGGAGUGGUUAAUGUUUUGAGGAAUUCCAAGUAUGUGAAAGCAGCCCAAGAGCUGUUAGAAGAGUUUUGCAGUGUGGGAAGGGGUCAAUUCAAGAAGAACAAAUUUACUAGGCAAAACACAAACCCUAGUUCCAAUAAUCCUGGCGGCAGUAGCGGCGGCGGCGGUUCUUCAUCUGCAACAAAAGAUCUCUCUCCUUUGUCAGCUGCCGAUAGGAUUGAGCACCAGAGGAGGAAGGUCAAACUUUUAUCCAUGCUUGAUGAGGUGGAUAGAAGAUAUAACCAUUACUGUGAACAAAUGCAAAUGGUUGUGAAUUCAUUUGAUCUGGUAAUGGGAUUUGGGGCAGCAGUUCCUUACACUGCGCUUGCCCAGAAGGCCAUGUCAAGGCAUUUUCGAUGUCUAAAGGAUGCAAUUGCAGCACAAUUGAAGCAUAGUUGUGAACUACUUGGGGAGAAAGAUGGAGCAGGGACCUCAGGCAUAACAAAAGGAGAGACUCCAAGGCUAAAAUUGCUAGAGCAAAGCUUAAGACAACAAAGAGCCUUCCACCAAAUGGGUAUGAUGGAACAAGACGCUUGGAGACCCCAAAGAGGCCUACCUGAACGAUCUGUCAACAUUUUGAGAGCUUGGCUUUUUGAGCAUUUUCUCCACCCGUAUCCAAGCGAUGCAGAUAAGCAUCUGUUGGCACGACAGACUGGUUUAUCAAGGAAUCAGGUUUCGAAUUGGUUCAUUAAUGCAAGGGUUCGGUUGUGGAAACCCAUGGUGGAAGAGAUGUAUCAACAAGAGGCAAAAGAAGAGGAAGGAGGAGAAGAAGAUAGAGAAAGAAAGCAAAACAACAACAACAAUAAUAACAAAAGUGGGGUUGCACUUGCACAGACACCAACACCGACAGAAUCCUCAUCAGCACCUCCCUCCACCACCGCAACACCACCACCAGCACCUCCAUCAGCAGCAGCAGGCAAAAGAUCCGAAAAUGCCAAUGAAAACGACCCAUCAAUUCUUGCAAUCAACAGACAAUGCUUCUCGGAAAACCAAGCAAAACACUCCCCUUCUUCCACCUCCACCACCAUUAUUACUCCCACCACAGAGGUAGGGGCACCACCACCCCAUGCCAAGCCUUUCCAUGACUUGACGGAUGAAACGUGUCGCCGUGGCAGCAGCAUGGUUGCUGCAGCUGAGCAUGGGACCACCUCUGUUCAGCAUGCCAAUGCUGGAACUGACAUUGGGUCUACUCUUAUAAGGUUUGGGACCACUGCCGCCGCUGGGGAUGUGUCGCUCACUCUAGGGCUACGCCAUGCCGGGAACAUGCCAGAGAAGGGUUCUGCUUUCUCUUUUAGGGACUUUGGGAACUGUUAAUUAAUUCAAACCCUUUCUUUCUUUCUUUCUUU
rnacentral:misc_RNA from 1 species